rnacentral:rRNA from 1 species
UACGGGGGGGGGCAAGCGUUGUUCGGAAUUACUGGGCGUAAAGGGCUCGUAGGCGGCCAACUAAGUCGAACGUGAAAUCCCCGGGCUCAACCCGGGAACUGCGUCCGAUACUGGAAGGCUUGAAUCCGGGAGAGGGAUGUGGAAUUCCAGGUGUAGCGGUGAAAUGCGUAGAUAUCUGGAGGAACACCGGUGGCGAAGGCGACAUCCUGGACCGGUAUUGACGCUGAGGCGCGAAAGCCAGGGGAGCAAAGCGGG